CGGGUGAUCCUGCGGAGGGCCACUGCUAUGGGGGUCCGACUAAGCCAUGCGAGUCAUGGGGGUGUCCCUUCUGGGACACCACCGGCGGACGGCUCAGUAACACGUCGGUAACCUACCCUCGGGAGGGGGAUAACCCCGGGAAACUGGGGCUAAUCCCCCAUAGGCCUGGGGUACUGGAAGGUCCCCAGGCCGAAAGGGGCUCUGCCCGCCCGAGGAUGGGCCGGCGGCCGAUUAGGUAGUUGGUGGGGUAACGGCCCACCAAGCCGAAGAUCGGUACGGGCCAUGAGAGUGGGAGCCCGGAGAUGGACACUGAGACACGGGUCCAGGCCCUACGGGGCGCAGCAGGCGCGAAACCUCCGCAAUGCGGGCAACCGCGACGGGGGGACCCCCAGUGCCGUGGCACAGCCACGGCUUUUCCGGAGUGUAAAAAGCUCCGGGAAUAAGGGCUGGGCAAGGCCGGUGGCAGCCGCCGCCGGUAAUACCGGCGGCCCAAGUGGUGGCCGCUAUUAUUGGGCCUAAAGCGUCCGUAGCCGGGCCCGUAAGUCCCUGGCGAAAUCCCACGGCUCAACCGUGGGGCUUGCUGGGGAUACUGCGGGCCUUGGGACCGGGAGAGGCCGGGGGUACCCCUGGGGUAGGGGUGAAAUCCUAUAAUCCCAGGGGGACCGCCAGUGGCGAAGGCGCCCGGCUGGAACGGGUCCGACGGUGAGGGACGAAGGCCAGGGGAGCGAACCGGAUUAGAUACCCGGGUAGUCCUGGCUGUAAAGGAUGCGGGCUAGGUGUCGGGCGAGCUUCGAGCUCGCCCGGUGCCGGAGGGAAGCCGUUAAGCCCGCCGCCUGGGGAGUACGGCCGCAAGGCUGAAACUUAAAGGAAUUGGCGGGGGAGCAC
rnacentral:rRNA from 1 species